rnacentral:tRNA from 1 species
GGUUCCGUGGUGUAACGGUUAGCACUCUGGACUCUGAAUCCAGUAAUCCGAGUUCAAAUCUCGGCGGAACCU